rnacentral:lncRNA from 1 species
UAGAAAAGAACUCUACUGUAACAUAUUUGGGUUGGCAUAUUUAGAAUUUUAUAGUUCAUGCAUAGUGUUUCAAAAAAAGAAAAGAGAUAGAGCAUGCAUAAUAACCUACUCCUCUAGUCACUUAAAAUGGACAUUAACUGAGUAAUCGGGGCCAUUCAUCACAAAUGUUUAUACUCGCAUCAAAAGGUUAAUGACAUCUCAAAGCACUAUGAGUAGCACUAGUACCCAUUUGAAAUUAUGACCAGCUGAAUAAUUAGGGCCAUUCAUCACAAAAUUUUGUGCUCGUGUCAAAUGGUUUGUGACAUUUCAAAUAAGUAAUAAGUGCUCAAGUUAGUUACAAAUAGGCUUUCUAUUUUCCGCAUGGACCAAUUGCGUGAAACCUCUAUAUCUAGAUAAGUUCAGUAGUUGUUUUACUAUGUAUUAGU